rnacentral:rRNA from 1 species
UACGUAGGGUCCGAGCGUUGUCCGGAAUUAUUGGGCGUAAAGAGCUCGUAGGCGGUCUGUCGCGUCGGCUGUGAAAUCCCGAGGCUCAACCUCGGAACUGCGUCUGGAACUACUCGACUAGAGUACUGGAGAGGGUAACGGAAUUCACGGUGUAGCAGUGAAAUGCGUAGAUAUCGUGAGGAACACCAGAGGCGAAGGCGGUUACCUGGACAGUUACUGACGCUCAGGCACGAAAGCAUGGGGAGCAAAAGGG